rnacentral:rRNA from 1 species
AUUGAACGCUGGCGGCAGGCCUAACACAUGCAAGUCGAACGAGUGGCGGACGGGUGAGUAAUGUCCGGGAAACUGCCUGAUGGAGGGGGAUAACUACUGGAAACGGUAGCUAAUACCGCAUACCAUCAGAUGUGCCCAGAUGGGAUUAGCUUGUUGGUGGGGUAACGGCUCACCAAGGCGACGAUCCCUAGCUGGUCUGAGAGGAUGACCAGCCACACUGAAGCUGAGGACCGAUCCAGACUCCUACGAGAGGCAGCAGUGGAGAAUAUUGCACAAUGGGCGCGGGCCUGCUGCAGCCAUGCCGCGUGUAUGACAGAUGCCUUCGGGUUGUAAGGUACUUUCAGCGGGGAGGCGUUACCCGCAGAAGAAGCACCGGCUAACUCCGUGCCAGCAGCCGCGGUAAUUC